ACAACAACUUCUUGAGUGCCGGGGAGUAAUCAAGUAACAGUCAUCACGGCUACCUCUAUUGCUCGGCGUUGAGCACUCAUCACGCUAAACAUUCCCUGUUGCCAAACGCGAGAUACGGAUAUAGCGCCAGCGAAAACAGGCAAAGCCAAGGCGAAAUUGGACGAGUCAACUCUGUUCGCAGAAGCCUCCACUAACAAAACUCAAAACGACAAUUUCCCUUCAUGUAUUCGCAUCGUUUCUUCCACCUUUGUGGCCACCGCUUUCCACGCCAAGCCCGACUCCAAAGUCUCCUCUAUUACAAACGUGAGUGAUGACGCUGUGGGAGUGCAAAUUGACGCGCCGGCGAAAGACGGCAAAGCGAACAGGGCGCUUCUCGAGUACAUCAGCCCGGUGAGUUCUGGUUGGGUUUUCAAUUUUUUUCCUUUUUCUUUUUUGAAAAGAGAAUUUUGCAGACGAAUGGGAAUAUUAAGAAAGAGUGUGGAUACUGUUAUGUUUCCUUCUUGUUGGUCCAAUCCAAAAAUUUCACUUUACAUAUCCUGAAAGCAUGAAUGGAUAAGUCACAUUCACAAGAACAUUUAAUGUAAAAUCUGUAGGUGAUAGUAGAUUUUAGUUCUACUGGAUGCACCUUAACAUUGUCUAAAUUAAUGUUUAUAAUUGUGGAGUAAAAGCUUUUCCCUGGUAACA